UUACGUUUGAUACUGUUUUGUUAUUAAGUUUGUUCGAUGCGUUCAUUGUUAAGUUUUCUUGUUAAACUAGUUGUUUCUUAUUUUUGUUUGGUUAUGGCGAUGGAUGGGAAGAAACCUCGCAAUAUAAAGAAAUAUUGCCUCCUUGGAUGUCCAGAUUUAGGUUUUGUUGCAUCAGCUGGCACUUCAGUAGUGCUGGAACAUAAUUAAUGCGUACCACGCAUGAAUGAAGCCCCAGUGACCUUAACAGAUUCAAAUUCAUCAAAAAUUAUUCCUGAUGAAGGUGAGAGCAUUUCUCUUUUUGCUAAGGGUUUGGACACUCAGACUUCUUCAUCAAAAGAAAAUAAGGAUCAAGACAAAUGAAGCUAAAGUGAAGAGUACACAGAGACAAGUGAGGGCAUUAAAAGCUAAAUUACAGAAAACAAAAAAACUACAGCUAAAGUAUAAAGAUAGAGUGGAAAGGGCAAAAAAAGUAAUCUCUAAUACCGGAUUAUUAGAAAUGUGAAUGUUCAGUAGAGGGUGGUCGAAGUCAGAAUGAAUAUGUCUGUGGCUGGGUCCUAAAAAAGUGUAUGUAAAAGUUGUAAGAGGAUGCAAAAAAUGUAAAGAAAUAAUAUUAUCACGUGAGAUGAAUCAAAUAGGUACCUAAAUACAAGCCAAAGAAUAUUACAAGACUACGAGAGCACUUUGCUACCCCUCCAACAGUGUAGUAAAGUGUUUCGAAGAGAUACAAAAUAUAACCCAAAAAUUUCUUCAAAACAAUUUAAAGAAUUGUAAAAUCAGAGAACAAAACAAAUUGUUUUACCCAACAUACUAUUAAUAUUUUAAUAUUCAGUUGGUGCAAAUCAAUUAAAUAACAUACCAUGAUGAUAAUGACAAUGUAAAAUUAAAAGCCCAGGCUUAUUUUACUAGCCAUAAGCACAAAAAAUAAAAAUAUGAUGCGUAAAUAGUGUUUUAUUUUGAAAAUAUGAGGUUCAACGUAGGUAGAGAAUACAGCCGUAUUGGCUUUCUGCUAGGUGAAUCUAGAAGUUACUUAUGCGAGUUGCAACAUCUAACUUUAACGAUAACUUCGUGUUGCUGGCUAUUUUUGUUAAAAUAGGAACAACAGACAAAUAUCGAUAUCGUUAAAAUUAGAUGGUGAAACUCGCCAAAGUAACUUCUCUCUUUAAUAUUAUAAGAUCUCUAUUAAAUUCAAACCGU